GGGGGAGUAGCUCAGUGGUAGAGUGCUUUUCCAGCAUGUGUGAGGCCCUGGGUUUGAUCCCAGCACUACCA
rnacentral:tRNA from 1 species